rnacentral:rRNA from 1 species
GAUGAACGCUGGCGGCGUGCCUAAUACAUGCAAGUCGAGCGAACAGAUGAGGAGCUUGCUCCUCUGACGUUAGCGGCGGACGGGUGAGUAACACGUGGAUAACCUACCUAUAAGAUUGGGAUAACUUCGGGAAACCGGAGCUAAUACCGGAUAAUAUAUUGAACCGCAUGGUUCAAUAGUGAAAGACGGUUUUGCUGUCACUUAUAGAUGGAUCCGCGCCGCAUUAGCUAGUUGGUAAGGUAACGGCUUACCAAGGCAACGAUGCGUAGCCGACCUGAGAGGGUGAUCGGCCCCACUGGAACUGAGACACGGUCCAGACUCCUACGGGAGGCAGCAGUAGGGAAUCUUCCGCAAUGGGCGAAAGCCUGACGGAGCAACGCCGCGUGAGUGAUGAAGGUCUUCGGAUCGUAAAACUCUGUUAUUAGGGAAGAACAAAUGUGUAAGUAACUAUGCACGUCUUGACGGUACCUAAUCAGAAAGCCACGGCUAACUACGUG